rnacentral:rRNA from 1 species
UCCUACGGGGCGCAGCAGUAGGGAAUUUUCGUCAAUGGGCGCAAGCCUGAACGAGCAAUGCCGCGUGAACGAGGAAGGUCUUCGGAUCGUAAAGUUCUGUUGAAGGGGAAAAAGAGCGGAGAGAGGAAAUGGUCUCCGAUUGAUAUUACCCUUCGAGGAAGCCACGGCUAACUACGUGCCAGCAGCCGCGGUAAUACGUAGGUGGCGAGCGUUAUCCGGAAUGAUUGGGCGUAAAGGGUGCGUAGGCGGCCUGCUAAGUCUGAAGUGAAAGGUACCGGCUCAACCGGUACAGGCUCUGGAAACUG